rnacentral:rRNA from 1 species
UACGUAGGGUGCAAGCGUUGUCCGGAAUUAUUGGGCGUAAAGAGCGUGUAGGCGGCCAGGUAGGUCUGCUGUGAAAACUCGAGGCUCAACCUCGAGCUGUCGGUGGAAACUGUCUGGCUAGAGUCCGGAAGAGGAGAGUGGAAUUCCUGGUGUAGCAGUGAAAUGCGCAGAUAUCAGGAGGAACACCAAUGGCGAAGGCAGCUCGCUGGGACGGUACUGACGCUGAGACGCGAAAGCGUGGGGAGCAAACAGG